GACAGAGGGUGCAAACGUUGUUCGGAAUUACUGGGCGUAAAGCGUGUGUAGGUGGCCGCGCAAGUCGGAUGUGAAAGCCCUGGGCUCAACUCAGGAAGUGCACCCGAUACUGCGUGGCUCGAGUACCGGAGAGGUUGGUGGAAUUCUCGGUGUAGAGGUGAAAUUCGUAGAUAUCGAGAGGAACACCUGUGGCGAAGGCGGCCAACUGGACGAGUACUGACACUGAGACACGAAAGCGUGGGGAGCAAACAGG
rnacentral:rRNA from 1 species